UGGGGAAUAUUGCACAAUGGGCGCAAGCCUGAUGCAGCCAUGCCGCGUGUAUGAAGAAGGCCUUCGGGUUGUAAAGUACUUUCAGCGGGGAGGAAGGGAGUAAAGUUAAUACCUUUACUCAUUGACGUUACCCGCAGAAGAAGCACCGGCUAACUCCGUGCCAGCAGCCGCGGUAAUACGGAGGGUGCAAGCGUUAAAUCGGAAUUACUGGGCGUAAAGCGCACGCAGGCGGUUUGUUAAGUCAGAUGUGAAAUCCCCGGGCUCAACCUGGGAACUGCAUCUGAUACUGGCAAGCUUGAGUCUCGUAGAGGGGGGUAGAAUUCCAGGUGUAGCGGUGAAAUGCGUAGAGAUCUGGAGGAAUACCGGUGGCGAAGGCGGCCCCCUGGACGAAGACUGACGCUCAGGUGCGAAAGCGUGGGGAGCAAACAGG
rnacentral:rRNA from 1 species